rnacentral:rRNA from 1 species
AUUGAACGCUGGCGGCGUGCUUAACACAUGCAAGUCGUACGCGAAAGGGACUUCGGUCCCGAGUAAAGUGGCGCACGGGUGAGUAACACGUGGAUAAUCUGCCUCUAUGAUGGGGAUAACAGUUGGAAACGACUGCUAAUACCGAAUACGCUCAUGAUGAACUUUAUGAGGAAAGGUGGCCUCUGCUUGCAAGCUAUCGCAUAGAGAUGAGUCCGCGUCCCAUUAGCUAGUUGGUGGGGUAACGGCCUACCAAGGCAACGAUGGGUAGCCGAUCUGAGAGGAUGAUCGGCCACACUGGAACUGAAACACGGUCCAGACUCCUACGGGAGGCAGCAGUGGGGAAUAUUGCGCAAUGGGCGAAAGCCUGACGCAGCGACGCCGCGUGAGGGAUGAAGGUCUUCGGAUCGUAAACCUCUGUCAGAAGGGAAGAAACUAGGGUGCUCUAAUCAUCAUCCUACUGACGGUACCUUCAAAGGAAGCACCGGCUAACUCCGUGCCAGCCGCCGCGGUAA